rnacentral:tRNA from 1 species
GCAAUAAAAGCUAAAAUUAAGAAGCAACGGUCUUGUAAGCCGAAGAUUAGAGUUAUUACUAUCUCUUUAUUGCU